AGAGUUUGAUCAUGGCUCAGAUUGAACGCUAGCGGGAUGCCUUACACAUGCAAGUCGAACGGCAGCACGGACUUCGGUCUGGUGGCGAGUGGCGAACGGGUGAGUAAUGUAUCGGAACGUGCCUAGUAGCGGGGGAUAACUACGCGAAAGCGUAGCUAAUACCGCAUACGCCCUACGGGGGAAAGCAGGGGAUCGCAAGACCUUGCACUAUUAGAGCGGCCGAUAUCGGAUUAGCUAGUUGGUGGGGUAACGGCUCACCAAGGCGACGAUCCGUAGCUGGUUUGAGAGGACGACCAGCCACACUGGGACUGAGACACGGCCCAGACUCCUACGGGAGGCAGCAGUGGGGAAUUUUGGACAAUGGGGGAAACCCUGAUCCAGCCAUCCCGCGUGUGCGAUGAAGGCCUUCGGGUUGUAAAGCACUUUUGGCAGGAAAGAAACGUCAUGGGCUAAUACCCCGUGAAACUGACGGUACCUGCAGAAUAAGCACCGGCUAACUACGUGCCAGCAGCCGCGGUAAUACGUAGGGUGCAAGCGUUAAUCGGAAUUACUGGGCGUAAAGCGUGCGCAGGCGGUUCGGAAAGAAAGAUGUGAAAUCCCAGAGCUUAACUUUGGAACUGCAUUUUUACUACCGAGCUAGAGUGUGUCAAGAAGGGAGGUGGAAUUUCCGCGUGUAGCAGUGAAAUGCGUAGAUAUGCCGGAUGGAACACCCGAUUGGCGAAAGGCAGCCUCCUGGGAUAACACUGACGCUCAUGCACGAAAGCGUGGGGAGCAACCAGGAUUAGAUACCCUGGUAGUCCACGCCCUAAACGAUGUCAACUAGCUGUUGGGGCCUUCGGGCCUUGGUAGCGCAGCUAACGCGUGAAGUUGACCGCCUGGGGAGUACGGUCGCAAGAUUAAAACUCAAAGGAAUUGACGGGGACCCGCACAAGCGGUGGAUGAUGUGGAUUAAUUCGAUGCAACGCGAAAAACCUUACCUACCCUUGACAUGUCUGGAAUUCCGAAGAGAUUUGGAAGUGCUCGCAAGAGAACUGGAACACAGGUGCUGCAUGGCUGUCGUCAGCUCGUGUCGUGAGAUGUUGGGUUAAGUCCCGCAACGAGCGCAACCCUUGUCAUUAGUUGCUACGAAAGGGCACUCUAAUGAGACUGCCGGUGACAAACCGGAGGAAGGUGGGGAUGACGUCAAGUCCUCAUGGCCCUUAUGGGUAGGGCUUCACACGUCAUACAAUGGUCGGGACAGAGGGUCGCCAACCCGCGAGGGGGAGCCAAUCCCAGAAACCCGAUCGUAGUCCGGAUCGCAGUCUGCAACUCGACUGCGUGAAGUCGGAAUCGCUAGUAAUCGCGGAUCAGCAUGUCGCGGUGAAUACGUUCCCGGGUCUUGUACACACCGCCCGUCACACCAUGGGAGUGGGUUUUACCAGAAGUAGUUAGCCUAACCGCAAGGGGGGCGAUUACCACGGUAGGAUUCAUGACUGGGGUGAAGUCGUAACAAGGUA
rnacentral:rRNA from 1 species